AGCGAACGCUGGCGGCAUGCCUAACACAUGCAAGUCGAACGAGACCUUCGGGUCUAGUGGCGCACGGGUGCGUAACGCGUGGGAACCUGCCCUUAGGUUCGGAAUAACUCCCCGAAAGGGGUGCUAAUACCGGAUAAUGUCUUCGGACCAAAGAUUUAUCGCCUUUGGAUGGGCCCGCGUUGGAUUAGCUAGUUGGUAGGGUAAAAGCCUACCAAGGCGACGAUCCAUAGCUGGUCUGAGAGGAUGAUCAGCCACACUGGGACUGAGACACGGCCCAGACUCCUACGGGAGGCAGCAGUGGAGAAUAUUGGACAAUGGGCGAAAGCCUGAUCCAGCAAUGCCGCGUGAGUGAUGAAGGCCUUAGGGUUGUAAAGCUCUUUUACCCGGGAUGAUAAUGACAGUACCGGGAGAAUAAGCUCCGGCUAACUCCGUG
rnacentral:rRNA from 1 species